rnacentral:rRNA from 1 species
AGAGUUUGAUCCUGGCUCAGCUGAUAUGAAGUCGUGACUGCGUAACCAAGGGCGACUUCUGCAAAUAUCCUUCACACUGGCUAGCAGUGCCAGCUUGCUGCUGCAGGGCUCAGUUCUAUCUAUGUUGUGUCCCAUUAAAUUAGAUGGUCUUCUGUUUACAGACUUGUAAUGCUCUAUAUGCCCUUAAUACAAAAGUAUACAGGGGAAAUAUUUAUAGCUCUAAGAUCGGCCUGUACGGUAUCAGCUUGUUGGUGAGGUAAUGGCUCACCAAGGCUAUGACGCCUAACUGGUUUGAGAGGAUGAUCAGUCACACUGGAACUGAGACACGGUCCAGACUCCUACGGGAGGCAGCAGUGGGGAAUAUUGCACAAUGGACGAAAGUCUGAUGCAGCAACGCCGCGUGGAGGAUGACACAUUUCGGUGCGUAAACUCCUUUUAUAUGAGAAGAAAAUGACGGUAUCAUAUGAAUAAGCGCCGGCUAACUCCGUGCCAGCAGCCGCGGUAAUACGGAGGGCGCAAGCGUUACUCGGAAUCACUGGGCGUAAAGAGCGUGUAGGCGGGUAUUUAAGUUGGAAGUGAAAUCCUAUGGCUCAACCAUAGAACUGCUUCCAAAACUGAAUACCUAGAAUAUGGGAGAGGUAGAUGGAAUUUCUGGUGUAGGGGUAAAAUCCGUAGAGAUCAGAAGGAAUACCGAUUGCGAAGGCGAUCUACUGGAACAUUAUUGACGCUGAGACGCGAAAGCGUGGGGAGCAAACAGGAUUAGAUACCCUGGUAGUCCACGCCCUAAACGAUGUACAUUAGUUGUUGCGAUGCUAGACAUUGCAGUAAUGCAGUUAACACAUUAAAUGUACCGCCUGGGGAGUACGAUCGCAAGAUUAAAACUCAAAGGAAUAGACGGGGACCCGCACAAGCGGUGGAGCAUGUGGUUUAAUUCGACGAUACGCGAAGAACCUUACCUGGCCUUGACAUAGAAAGAAUUUAGCAGAGAUGUAAAAGUGCUAGUUUACUAGAGCUUUCAUACAGGUGCUGCACGGCUGUCGUCAGCUCGUGUCGUGAGAUGUUAGGUUAAGUCCUGCAACGAGCGCAACCCUCGUGUUUAGUUACUAACAGUUCGGCUGAGGACUCUAGACAUACUGCCUGGGCAACCAGGAGGAAGGUGAGGACGACGUCAAGUCAUCAUGGCCCUUACGGCCAGGGCUACACACGUGCUACAAUGGGGUAUACAAAGAGCCGCAAUACCGCGAGGUGGAGCAAAUCUCAUAAAAUAUCUCCCAGUUCGGAUUACACUCUGCAACUCGAGUGUAUCAAGUAGGAAUCGCUAGUAAUAGUAGAUCAGCAAUGGUCAGGAGAUAGCUAUGACCAGUAUUGUGCCCAGCUCGGUU